rnacentral:rRNA from 1 species
GACAGAGGUCCCGAGCGUUAGGCGGAAUCACUGGGCUUAAAGCGUGUGUAGGCGGAUCGUUAAGUGCCUUGUGAAAUCCCAUGGCUUAACCAUGGAACUGCUUGGCAUACUGGCGGUCUUGAGCCACUUAGGGGCAACCGGAACAAAUGGUGGAGCGGUGAAAUGCGUAGAUAUCAUUUGGAACGCCAAUGGUGAAAACAGGUUGCUGGGAGUGUGCUGACGUGAGACACGAAAGCCAGGGGAGCGAACGGGG